GCGUGCGUGCGCAUGCGCAAGCAAGCAAGCAGGGCUAUGAUUCUAAACUCUUCCUAAGAAACUGUCAUAUCUAUCCUCAUUUUCUAAGGGAGCUAAUGAAGCACAGAGGAGUUCAGGCAACUUGCCCAGGACAAACAGCUCUUCUCACAAACAAUUGAGGGAAGAAGGGUUCGUUUUACCCCAGUUUGAAGGCAUAGUUCAUUGCGAUGGAGAGACAGUUGGAGAGUAAGGCUGUCACACUAUUAGUUAUGCACUGGCAUGGAAGGAUAAGUCCUCACACAAAGGAGAUGCUUCUCACGGAGCAUUGAGAGAAACCAUGGAAGACUGCCUUUCCUACUGUCAAGCAUCUAUGUCCCAGUCCUCUGACUUCUGCGUGAUAUUGCAAUCUCCAGGAAAGAAUAAACUUCUCUAUUUCACUCAAUGAUGGAUUCCAGAACUGGGACAGUGAUGGGCACCUAGUAGGCACGAGAAAUGUCAAAGGAAUUUCUUCUGAAGUUGAACAGUUGCUGAUAAAGUCUGUGAGGAAGCCUUGGCUCAGAACAAAGAAUGAUUUAUCUUUUCAGAAAAGAGAUUGUGAUACAGGGGAGCUGGUAUUUACCAGCUCCUGGGCUCCAUUGCUUUACGGAGUCUUUGCUUUAGAUGACCAGGGGAGGAAGGGAAAUGUAGAGAGGAACCUCAAAGACUGGAUGUGCAGAAACGCAGGGCUUUGGCCAUAAACUUCCCACCUUCCUCACUGUCACCACGAUAAAAACUAGCGUCUGAAGAGCUGCCAUAAUUUUAAAGCUGGCCAUUUCUUUGCAGCACCACAAUUAAAACCCCAUGGUUUUUUGAGCGGUGUGAAUUUUGUUUAUUGCAUGUUUCAUAGAGUAUUUUACAGAUGCUCAGUACAAGCAAGUUAAGGAAAACAUCAACACCGCUGGCAGACUCUAGAAUAAAUAAGAAAAUAUUCUACUGAAUCUAUAAUAAAAAAAAUAAUGGGUGUGAAAUUGCUGCCUUCUUUCUUCUACCAUUUCUGGUUUAAGUAUAUUGGAAAGAAUGGGACUGAACUGAAUGAUUUUGAAAGGGGAAACCAUACAACUUUGCAAACUAUAGAAGAUUAAUUAAGUACAAUGUAAGGAAAGCCCCCUUACAUAUGCAGAUGAAGCUGGUUGACUGCUUUUCUCUAGAAAACAAAACAAAACAAAAACUGCUCUGUAAUUUGACAUGACUUCCUCUUUUAAAAAAUGUUUCCUAUGUCACAGGAAGGAGUCAUUUUCAUUCUUCUUGCUAUUUAAACACCCUGUAAGCUCUCAGUAUCUGACAAAUGAGACCCACAUUGAUACCUCAGGACUGUCUACCCUCUCCUGGCCCCCACCCCACCUUCCCUUCCUCCCUUCCUCUCUGGAGGUAUGAGCGAAGAUUAUACUGACGAUUUUAUCUUAUUUUUAUAUUUAUAUCUUAUCUUUUAUAUUUAUAUUUUAUCUUAUAUUUAUCUUAUUAACUCGGAGGAAGGUUCGUAGACUGUCUCAAGGGCUCUGUGCUCUCCUCUCUCCCAGGAAAACACUGUUCUUUUUCUCAGAUAAGGGCUUCAAAUUUAUUGACUUAUUACAAGAAAUCAGUGUCUGCAUAAAUAUACAUAUUUAUUAUGCAUGUGUGUAUGUUUCAUAUAUAUGUAUCUAUAAAUGCAUGUGAAUAUAUGUAUGUUGUAUACAGUUUUCAGUAAAAGACAUAAAUUUACAUCAUAAAAAGAAUUUCAUGGGAAAAUAUAUAGGAGGAGGAAGAAGGGGAAGAGGAGGAGAAAGAGGAGGAAGAAGAGGAGGAGGAGGAGGAAGUCACAUAUAAUCAUAUCCACCAAAGGAAAUAAAUACUAUUGACCAUGGCAAACAUUAUCUGUAGUUCUCCAAGUCUACACUGCAAACUAAAGAAUCUUCAGUAGUGCAAAAGAACUCGUGUGGUUGAGAUGGGUGGGCAUAAGAAAAUCCAUUCAUGCUUCUCAGUCUAUUGUGGGAUUUCCCACCUAUGUGGAGAAAUAUUUCUCUAAGAAUAAUAAUGGCAAAACCCAAUCGUAAACAGCCACAAAUGCUCUUGUGAUAGCCAGGCACAUUGUGGCAAAAUAAAGACCGAAUGCUGAAUCCAGGAGGGGCAAGAACAGCUCGGUGAAGAGCUCCAGUCACAAAUAUGGUCUCAGUGUUGUCAAACCUCCUGAUUCAUCAGAAAUGGUAAAUUCGCAUGUAUAUGUAAAACUACCCAUUUUAAAACCAUUUUCUCAAAAUCGUUUAAAACCUCUGUGGGAGAUGACUGACAUAUGGACGGUAGCGCAUCAAGUACAGCUUUUGCUAUGUAGAGUUAGGCAGAUGAGUAGAUAAAAAGGAAAUGACUAAUGAUUGGUCAAUAAUAAGAAAAGUCUACAGAAGCAACUAUUUAAAAAUAAUUUAAAAAUAACAAUGAAAUUUAAGUCUCAUCAAAUUAAAUAGGCCGCCCUGAAAUGGGGAACAUCGCGGAACCUUAUUUCUUCAUCCUCAAAAAUUUCUCUAAGCACAAGAACAAUGAUAAAGUCAUUAUGAGAUUGAAAAUGUAUACGUACUACAAUGAACUCUAUAUUAUUAACUACGUUAUCUUCCAGAGUCCACAGGAGACUCAUUCCAGGACCCUUGCAGAUACCCACAAUCAAGGCUAUUCCUGUGUGCUGACCUUGAAUGAUUUUGAAAGGGGAAAUGAUACGACUUUGCAAACUAUAGAAGAUUCAAAAUCGUUCUUACAUAUGCAGAUGAAGCUGGUCAGCUGUUUUUCUUUAGAAAAAAACAAAAAGCAAAAACUGCUCUAUAAUUUGACAUGACUUCCCUUUUCCAAAAAAGACUGGACAUUUACAUAGAACCUAUGUACUUCCUCUUAUGUUGUCACAUGCUGCACAUUGGUAUCUCACCCCUUAGACUACAUGACGGCAGCCCCACAGGAUCGUAAUAGAACUGGGAAACCCUAUUGCCUGGUAAUGAGUGUCUCAGCUAUAGCGAUGCCGCAGCACAGUGUACAUUGGACGACUCCAUGUUUGCAGUAAUUCAGGGGUAAAUACCUUCACCGAACUGCUUGUGAACGUUAGUUUGUGCCCACCCAAUUCUGUGCAAUACAGAAUUUCUUGGUCAUGAUAACAAACGACAAUGGGACUGAUUAUACAUAACCACGCUUUUUUUUCAUUAUUUUUGUGUGCACGCCUACUUAUCCGCAUAUUUAAAGUUUGAAAUAGCCUGCUACGUUACGUGACAGCCUCAUCAGCUUUGCAUCAUAGCAUUGUUUGACUGAAACAAGAAGUCCUGGAGGUUGGUUAACUUAGAUGAUGCAGGAUUAUAUAAGUUCAGAUGUUCAUUCAAUGGGAUCCGGUCGCCAGAGCCUCCCCCAUCCUGUACACUAGGCGGUGGGCAAUGAUAUUCUAAGCCGUUUCUCAGUUAAUUAAAACACACAGUGGAGCGCACAGACCAAGUACCCUGUUGCUGUACUGUACUGUUUGGGCAAUACCGGCUGCAAGCAGGUGUGCGCAUGUCUGGUGCAGAUGGAUAUAUUGGUGUUUAAAUACUUUUGAUCUGAGUGCUGCGGAAUCUGCACAUGGGGAGACACACAGACAUGCCGACUAUUCAUACUUUACUUUCAGGCAUACAGGUUGAUUCUUGGUUUAUUGGAAGACUAUUGAUCCUAAAAGUUUGUUUUUAGGUAUUGUACCAAGACAUUCUUAUCACCUCUAGUCUUUUUUUUUUUUCUGAAAAUUAUGAGACUAUCAUGACGCUCAGGGACCUAAUUUUCUAUUCUCCUUGUAUCUUUCUAGAGACAAAAAGGACACGAAGGCAUGACACUCUGGAACCUUCCUUUUCUUUUUAUGCACAUUAAAAAAAUGCUUAUGACAUAA